rnacentral:rRNA from 1 species
UACGUAGGGGGCUAGCGUUGUCCGGAUUUAUUGGGCGUAUAGAGCGUGUAGGCGGCCAGGUAGGUCUGGUGUGAAAACUCGAGGCUUAACCUCGAGAUGUCAUCGGAAACCAUCUGGCUAGAGUCCGGAAGAGGAGAGUGGAAUUCCUGGUGUAGCGGUGAAAUGCGCAGAUAUCAGGAAGAACACCAAUGGCGAAAGCAGCUCUCUGGGACGGUACUGACGCUGAGACGCGAAAGCGUGGGGAGCGAACAGG